GAUGAACGCUAGCGGGAGGCCUAACACAUGCAAGCCGAGCGGUAUUGUUUCUUCGGAAAUGAGAGAGCGGCGUACGGGUGCGGAACACGUGUGCAACCUGCCUUUAUCUGGGGGAUAGCCUUUCGAAAGGAAGAUUAAUACUCCAUAAUAUAUUGAACGGCAUCGUUUAAUAUUGAAAGCUCCGGCGGAUAGAGAUGGGCACGCGCAAGAUUAGCUAGUUGGUGAGGUAACGGCUCACCAAGGCGAUGAUCUUUAGGGGGCCUGAGAGGGUGAUCCCCCACACUGGGACUGAGACACGGACCAGACUCCUACGGGAGGCAGCAGUGAGGAAUAUUGGUCAAUGGGUGCAAGCCUGAACCAGCCAUCCCGCGUGAAGGACGACUGCCCUAUGGGUUGUAAACUUCUUUUGUAUAGGGAUAAACCUACCCUCGUGAGGGUAGCUGAAGGUACUAUACGAAUAAGCACCGGCUAACUCCGUGCCAGCCGCCGCCGUAACAC
rnacentral:rRNA from 1 species